ACUUCCUGGUUUGUUUUGGUGUCCAUGCCAACCCAUUAGUUUCACCUGGUCUCCUAGUCACGUCCCUGUCCUCAUCCUCACACCUGUUUUCAGGAAUCAUCACAGCUGCUAUUUAAGUCAUUCUUUUCCUGUCUUCGUCCUGGCAUCUUCACCUGCCCAAGCUGCAGCUCCUUCAUGUCCUCCAACACCUUGCUGUCCAUGCUCCUUGUGUCAGUCCAACAACUCAUUGAUGUUCACCUUGCCCUCAUGUCACGCACCUGUCCUCAGUUCUUACACCUGCUGCUAAUCAUCACUGCUAAUAUUUAAGCCACAGUUUCCAAGUGUUCAGGCCGGCAACUCCCAUAUUCCUCGUCUACCUUCAUGCCAUGCUACUCUGUUCAUUCAUUAUGCUGUCCAUGCCACAUAACUCCUUCCAGCUGAGGCAUCCACUCACCUGUCAUCUGCUUCCAGACAACUCCUGCACUCACCUGCCCACAGGUGGAGAGUGACCACGCCCUGCCCAGGGGUGGAGAGUGACCACGCCCUGCACACAGGCGGAGAGU